GAAACACGGACCAAGGAGUUUAAAAAUCAUGCAAGUCGUUAAAUUGAAAAUUUAAGGGCGUAAUGAAAUGUGAAUAUUGCGAAAUGUUAAGUUUAGCAAUGUUCUGCGUAAUACUAUAUUAUGUAGAAAUAGAGCAUGAUUUUUAAGACCCGAAAGAUGGUGACCUAUGCCUGGACAAGAUGAAGCCAGAGGAAACUCUGGUGAAGGUCUGAAGCAAUUCUGACGUGCAAAUCGAUUGUCCGAUCUGGGUAUAGGGGCGAAAGACUAAUCGAACCAUCUAGUAGCUGGUUCCCUCCGAAGUUUCCCUCAGGAUAGCUGGUGCAUAAUUGUUAUUCUCAUCCGGUAAAGCGAAUGAUUAGAGGUAUUGGGGUUAAUGUGAUCUCAACCUAUUCUCAAACUUUCAAUGGGUGAGUGUAAUUCUUUCUUUGGUGAAGAUUUACAAACGAUACAUGUGCUAAGUGGGCCAUUUUUGGUAAGCAGAACUGGCGCUGUGGGUUGAACCAAACGUUAAGUUAAGGUAUUGAAAUUGUAUUGCAUAUCGGAUUCCAGAAAGGGUGUUGGUUGCUGAAGACAGCAGGACGGUGGCCAUGGAAGUCGGA
rnacentral:rRNA from 1 species